rnacentral:rRNA from 1 species
CCGAUGGACCCCGGGGGGAUUAGAUUGUUGGGGGGGUAAGGGCUCACCAAGGGGACGAUGGGUAGCCGACCUGAGAGGGUGAUUCGCCACACUGGGAUUGAGACACGGCCCAGAUUCCUACGGGAGGCAGCAGUAGGGAAUCUUCCGCAAUGGACGAAAGUCUGACGGAGCAACGCCGCGUGAGUGAUGAAGGUUUUCGGAUCGUAAAGCUCUGUUGUUAGGGAAGAACAAGUGCGAGAGUAACUGCUCGCACCUUGACGGUACCUAACCAGAAAGCCACGGCUAACUACGUGCCAGCAGCCGCGGUAAUACGUAGGUGGCAAGCGUUGUCCGGAAUUAUUGGGCGUAAAGGGCUCGCAGGCGGUUUCUUAAGUCUGAUGUGAAAGCCCCCGGCUCAACCGGGGAGGGUCAUUGGAAACUGGGAAACUUGAGUGCAGAAGAGGAGAGUGGAAUUCCACGUGUAGCGGUGAAAUGCGUAGAGAUGUGGAGGAACACCAGUGGCGAAGGCGACUCUCUGGUCUGUAACUGACGCUGAGGAGCGAAAGCGUGGGGAGCGAACAGGAUUAGAUACCCUGGUAGUCCACGCCGUAAACGAUGAGUGCUAAGUGUUAGGGGGUUUCCGCCCCUUAGUGCUGCAGCUAACGCAUUAAGCACUCCGCCUGGGGAGUACGGUCGCAAGACUGAAACUCAAAGGAAUUGACGGGGGCCCGCACAAGCGGUGGAGCAUGUGGUUUAAUUCGAAGCAACGCGAAGAACCUUACCAGGUCUUGACAUCCUCUGACAACCCUAGAGAUAGGGCUUUCCCUUCGGGGACAGAGUGACAGGUGGUGCAUGGUUGUCGUCAGCUCGUGUCGUGAGAUGUUGGGUUAAGUCCCGCAACGAGCGCAACCCUUGAUCUUAGUUGCCAGCAUUUAGUUGGGCACUCUAAGGUGACUGCCGGUGACAAACCGGAGGAAGGUGGGGAUGACGUCAAAUCAUCAUGCCCCUUAUGACCUGGGCUACACACGUGCUACAAUGGACAGAACAAAGGGCUGCGAGACCGCAAGGUUUAGCCAAUCCCAUAAAUCUGUUCUCAGUUCGGAUCGCAGUCUGCAACUCGACUGCGUGAAGCUGGAAUCGCUAGUAAUCGCGGAUCAGCAUGCCGCGGUGAAUACGUUCCCGGGCCUUGUACACACCGCCCGUCACACCACGAGAGUUUGCAACACCCGAAGUCGGUGAGGUAACCUUUAUGGAGCCAGCCGCCG